AACACCACAGUUCAAAAGCAUCAAUUCUUCGGCACUCAGCCCUCUUCACAUCUUAGCCUUAGUCUAACAAUCUUAGCUAUUACCUAUUAUUGGGAUUUUUAUAUUAUUAUCACCUGCAUUAUUAUUUAUAUUAUCAGUCAUAUAUUAUUAUAAUUACAUAAAAUUAUGACAACUUGAUAUCAUUACUACAAAGAACAAGAAAGAGGCUCAUAAUGUUGGACUAGGCUCCCUGGGAGAUAAGAUGUGAGAAGUCCUAUAGCAUGAGAAUGGUGAAGUUAGGACAUUGCUUCUAAAGUGUAAACUCCCUCAGAACCGGGACUUAACACCCUAAGUUUUCCUCUUUCAGCCAUCAGUAUCUUAAACUGUAAGACGUAAUGGGUAACAGGAUUUUCUGAGUUUUGCAGCAUAUCAUGCUAAAUACAGACACCAAACUUUGUGGGGAGCAAAAAAAGGCAGUCUAACAUGAAAAUGUUCACACUCGGGGAUGCUGAGGACUCCAAGGGGGCAAUUAACAAGGAUUAUGAGCUUUCUGGCUAUUUGGCUAAAAGACAUAAUUAAGAGAUUUAAAAUGCUUCUAUUUUUUCUCAGUAAAGAGAAAAUACUUAGAGCUAAAAUGUGAAGUUGGAAGGCUCAGGCAACAUCAGAGAAGGAGUCUAAUGAAGCACAGUUUGGUUUUCAGCUGAUAAGAAGCCCUCCAAAGCCUGAAGGCUCAGCAGCUCAGAAGAUGCUUGCCACCAAGGGAUGUCUCCAGGAGUGCUUGAUUGAUGGUGGACAAAGCCUGGCUGAGGCAGGGCCACUUACCUGGUAACGCCUGGAUGGCGGGGGCUGUGGGCCCGGCCGCCCGCCUCGCAGCAGUUGGCGAAGGAGCCGUUCUCAGGCAUCCCGGACGCUCCGGCGCCGCGCCAGCCACGGCGCACCCAGUCUCUCCGCAGGCGGGGCGCCCCUUUCCCUGCCCAGCCCCGCGCACCAGCGAGGAGGCCAGUGCGGAGGCACCCGGACCAGAUGAUUAAUUAAGCGUGGGCAGGGGGCGGAGAAAAACGUAGGACUGAGAGGAGCAUUUGGGGUGCAGGCGCUGCUGAAAGAAGCGCGUCUCCGCUUGGCUCGCUCAGCAGCAGGUGCGACGGCGCGCAGCCCGGAGCCCAGCACGUGCCUGGCCCGGUUCCGGCCUCAGCGCCUGAGCGCACCGCACAAGAAGCUGGGUGUCCAGGGACACCCAGAUUCUCGGACUGGAAAAGGUGCUGCUCGUCAGGACCUGCUGAUUGGCUGUCAGAAGGGCACUGCCCCUCUAAAGCGAAUACAUAACUCCAGGCGUCGCGGAGAGAUCAGGCAGGCAGCAGCAGGAGAAAGAAGACCCUGCGCUGUUUAUUUGCUGUUUACCUGAGAAGUCUUGGCGAUGCCUCAGCCCUGUCCUCUUUAUAAAACCGCGACAAUACUUAUGAACAUCUUUUUAAACAUAAUAGUACUUAAAGAGAUGUAUGGUCAAUAGUGGGGGCAUUUAUAAGGUGUUUUUUGAAGGGAUUAGACCACAAAGAGGAGUGCAGUAUGGUUAUAGGAAAGAAGAAACGCAGAUGCCCUUUAUUUAAAGUGUGUGAGCAAUUAAUCUUAUAAGAACAAUUGCUUGUCCCUCUCCAGGGUAAUUUUAUGCCAAGUACUGUCUUACCCACUUUUUGCAUCACUAGAAUCAAAAUGGCUGAUAAUCUAUUUGGCAAAGAAGUAAAGUACCUGCUUUGAUGAGAAUGAAAAAUGGUACAGUCACUGCUAUUUGGUAGUUUCUUAUACAAUUAAACAUAUUCCAUUUUUUGACCCGCAGUGAAAUGAAGAUGAAACAUAUGUGCACAAAAAAAUUUGUGCAAGAAUUGUCCAGAGCAGGGUUAGUUGUAGUAGCCUAGACAGCCCAAAGGUCCCUCAAGAGAGGAAUGGAUAAAACAAUUGUUAAUUGUCAAUAUGACUCAUCAGUAAAAGUUACAGAUACACAACAACAUGGGUUAAUCUAAACAGUAUUAUGUCGAGCAAAAGAAGCAAGAUAUAAAAGCAUACAUUCUUCAUUAUUCCAAUUGUAUGAUGUCCAAAAACAGGGAAAUUCAUCUAUGGUGAUAUUUAUCAGAACAGUGGUUGCCCAAUGCGAGGUGAAGAUUGACUGGAACAGAUCAUGGAAUAAAUUUCUGGGAUGUUAUUGGUAUGUGUUAUUAAUGUACAUUUUACUCUCCCACUCUGCACACACACACAAAAAACAGAAACAAAAGAACCGAGAGAGGAACUCUAACGGUGUGAUGUUGCAGGAGAAGAUUAUAGUUAAAGCAAUAAAUGCCUUGAGAGGUGAGCGCAUCUGAGCCCAAGGAAGGCAGAUCAUUGUUAGGAGAGAGAGGCUUUUCCCCCUACAGGGGAAAUGAAGCAUAAGCCCGUGCAAAUUUGGACGUGUUUCUAAAUCGGCAGGAGAUGGGGGAGUUCCUC
ensembl:lncRNA